UAUACUUGGUUUCAUAUUCAUACAAAUGUCGUACUACAAUCUGUUUUUAUCUCUUUAGUUCUCUUCUUCCACGCUGUUGGAGUCCUCACUCAAUCUAUCUAAGAUCAAAAAUGCCUUGGGACUGUUGGAGUCCUCACUAUCUAUAUUUAUAGCCGAGAGAAACAAGCAUAAAGCUUCAUCUUCUUACAAGAGGGAUGAAGAUGGCUAGGAGAACAAAAAUGCCUUAGGACUGUGUGGCGUUUUUCCAUCAAGCUUUGCCAGACUUUGUUGGAAAUUGACUAGACUGUGCGUGCAAUAUUUGUAUUUUUUUUCUUUCCUGAUAAAGAUACUAUGCAGUGUAUGUGCAAUGUAGAUGAAUGUUAGUAAAAAAAUAGAUGAAUGCUAGGCAUAGAUGUAUAGGGUGUGAAUGGUAGAGAUGAAUGUUAGGCAUAUGCGAAGUGUAUAGAUGCAUGUUAGGAUGUGAAUGGUAUAGAUGAAUGUUAGGAUGUGAAUGGUAUAGAUGAAUGUUAUAGGGUGUGAAUGGUAUAGAUGAAUGUUAGGAUGUGAAUGGUAUAGAUAAAUGUUAGGCAUAUGCGAAUUGUAUAGAUGAAUGUGUUAGGGUGUGAAUGAUAUUAUAGAUGAAUGUUGUUAGGGUG